UCAGAAAAAAAUUAGUUUUAUUCCUUUUUGGAAUGGAAAUUUGGAAAUCAUGGAAUUUCACACUCAAUAUUAUUUGACCUUUCUACAGCAAGCAAAAAAUUCUACAGAGGCUGACUGAACUUCUCACCAAAAAGAAAAGGUCUGCUCCUGGAUCCCUGUCCUCGGGUCGAGUCUGCUGAGGAAGUGGUAUCUUGUUGAAGUCAACUGAACUGCUCACAGGAAGAGGGGCUGUGUGGCUGGAAGAUGGGCUGGGCUGCAUGAUUUGGCUGGAAGGGCCCAUUGUGAAGAAGCCUGUCCCAGAAGGGGAAGCUUAGCUGUGGAGCACAAGGACCCAGAGAAGGUAC